UACGUAGGGUGCAAGCGUUGUCCGGAAUUAUUGGGCGUAAAGAGCUCGUAGGCGGUCUGUCGCGUCUGCUGUGAAAACCUGGGGCUUAACCCCGGGCCUGCAGUGGGUACGGGCAGACUAGAGUGCGGUAGGGGAGACUGGAAUUCCUGGUGUAGCGGUGAAAUGCGCAGAUAUCGGGAGGAACACCAAUUGCGAAGGCAGCUCGCUGGGACGUAACUGACGCUGAGACGCGAAAGCGUGGGGAGCAAACAGG
rnacentral:rRNA from 1 species